rnacentral:miRNA from 14 species
CGCUGGUUUUUUACCGCGGUGAUA